rnacentral:rRNA from 1 species
AGAAUUCACUAGUGAUUGGCCUAACACAUGCAAGUCGAGCGGGGUUUUCGGACCUAGAGAAAGACGGGUGAGUAAUGCGUAGGAAGCUGCCCGAUAGAGGGGGAUACCAGUUGGAAACGACUGUUAAUCCCGCAUAAUGUCUACGGACCAGAGUGUGGGACCUUCGGGCCACAUGCUAUCGGAUGCGCCUACGUGGGAUUAGCUAGUUGGUGAGGUAAUGGCUCACCAAGGCGACGAUCUCUAGCUGGUUUGAGAGGAUGAUCAGCCACACUGGAACUGAGACACGGUCCAGACUCCUACGGGAGGCAGCAGUGGGGAAUAUUGGACAAUGGGCGCAAGCCUGAUCCAGUCAAGGGGCGUGUGUGAAGAGGUCCUUCGGGUUGUACAUUAAUGGAGCGAGGAGGAAGGGUGGUGUGUUAAUAGCACAUCAUUUGACGUACUCGCAG